AACUCGAACCCUAUUAUAUACUAUUAAAAUUCAUCAUAUUAGAUUCAAUUGAAUCAGAUACCCGCAAAAACUUACCCUGUUAUUUCUCAAAACUUUGUUCUUUCAGUUUCAAAUUUAAGCCCCUGAAUCCUCCUAAACCCUAUCUUUUCUGUUUUCUUUUCUCUUUCUCCUUUCUUUCUGGGUGCCCUCUCUUUCUCAUAACUAGCAAGUCCCAUCUUCAAUUGAAAUGAAACUCUCCAUUAUCUCCAUUGAUAAUAUCAUUGUACUCAUGAAAUUCUCCAUUGAUGGGUGAGUGGGAAAAAGAGAGAGUGGCAUGAAUGUAACUCAUGAAUUUAAUUUAAAAACAAAUUUCAAUGCAUGUAAUUACCAUAUUUAAGGUGAUGAAAACUCAAAACACCACCCUAAUCAUCAUAAUUCUUCCCUUAUCAAAAUUACCAAGCAGACUUUCUUCACAGCUAAUCCAAUCUAAACAAUCACGUUUCACAAGGGCACUAUUUGUCAUGAGGAAGCUGACAUUAGCUGCAGCCCAAAUGAACAUUCAUUUGGCUGGUUAGAAAUCCUGUUGACUUUCAUUCUAAAGAAAAUAAAUAUCCUUCAAGUAACAAAAUUCUGAAACCAUCAGAAUUGCAAAAGUUUCACCAUGUUUAGACACCAAUAAAUAGUUUAAGAAAGCAGUAUGACAACAAAACCAGAUUUUUGAUAUUUUGUUUCUUUGUU
rnacentral:misc_RNA from 1 species